CUUCUGACUGGGAAGAGUCUUUAAGGGAGUUUCGCUGGAGACUGCAGCUUGGUUUGUGGGCUUAGAGCUUGGCUUCAACUUAGACUGACUCCUGGACUACUUUGUUGGCUUUUUCAGGAAGGGGAGGAGGUUCUCAGGAAUGGAUGCUGUCAAGAUAUGAUCAAGUCUUCAGGUCUGACAGUCUGAGGAAUGGAGAGUCCAGGUGUUCUGCCAUCACUCUUCCACAUUGGCAAGAUUAUAACAUAAUUGAGCUCAGAAAUGGAAGAGAGAUAAUGAUAUCAAUCACCUGAAUAAAGAAAGUACAAGACUAAGAAUGAUUAAAUAUUGGCAUUGGAAAGAACAGCAAGCAGAUCACAGAGAAAAAUAAUGAAUUCCUGAUGCAACAAUACCCCCAACAGGAUUCUUUCAUUUUUUUAACCAAGAUUUAGAAAUCUUUUAAAAUAAAGAUUUGCUUCACAUAGAAGUCA
rnacentral:lncRNA from 1 species